rnacentral:rRNA from 1 species
UACAGAGGUCUCAAGCGUUGUUCGGAUUCAUUGGGCGUAAAGGGUGUGUAGGUGGCGCGCUAAGUCGGGUGUUAAACCCCCAGGCUCAACCUGGGGACGCCACUCGAUACUGCUGUGACUAGAGUCCGGUAGGGGAGACUGGAAUUCCUGGUGUAGCGGUGAAAUGCGCAGAUAUCUGGAGGAACACCUGUGGUGUAGACAGCUUACUGGACCACUUCUGACGCUGAGACACGAAAGCGUGGGUAGCAAACAGG